CUGAACUGCUGCUCUCUGGGCCAGCCAACCCCGGUGCUGGGUCCCCUGGCCCCAGCCUGCUCCCGUCCCUACCAAGGCCUCAAGAUACCGGCUCUGCUGUGAUUCAUUUUCCCACGUCACCAAACCACCCCAGGGCAGCAACCUCAAGAAGAGGCAAGGGCAGAACUGACCAGUUGGUCCUUUCUGGACACGCCUGAACUUUCACGAUGUGAGAGAAAAGUCACACACUCACUUUCACAGGCUGCUCCAGAUGGCAGCGAAAACCACACAUUUUACAAAUGAGGAAACUGAGGAUCAGAAAGGCGAAGUGGCUGAUGGAUAUAGUUUGUAUAUUUGUCCCCACCCACAUCUCAUGUUGGAUGUAAUCCCCAAUGUUGGAGGUGGAGACUGGUGGGAUUUGCAUCAUGGGGCAGAUCCCUCGUGGCUUGGUGCUGUCUUCCCAAUUGCUGAUCAUCUUGCUGCCACUUUUGCCAUGUGAACUGCCUGCUCCUGCUUUGCCUUCCACCAGGAUGGAAAGCUUCCUGAGGCCCCUCCAGAAGCUGAUGCCAGAGCUAUGCUUCCCAUACAGCCUGAAGAAGUGUGAGCCAAUUAAAUCUCUUUUCUUUAUAAAUU
rnacentral:lncRNA from 10 species